GGGCAGGUACCCAAGUGGCCAAAGGGGGCAGACUGUAAAUCUGCUGGCUUAUGUCUUCCAAGGUUCAAAUCCUUGCCUGCCCACCA
rnacentral:tRNA from 3 species